rnacentral:rRNA from 1 species
AACUGCUUUUGUCGGAACGAAAAGGCCCUGGUGAACAACCGGGGUUGCUGACGGUACCGUAAGAAUAAGCACCGGCUAACUACGUGCCAGCAGCCGCGGUAAUACGUAGGGUGCGAGCGUUAAUCGGAAUUACUGGGCGUAAAGCGUGCGCAGGCAGGACAUGCAAGACAGAUGUGAAAUCCCCGGGCUCAACCUGGGAACUGCAUAUGUGACUGUAUGACUGGAGUACCGGCAGAGGGGGAUGGAAUUCCCGCGUGUAGCAGUGAAAUGCCGUAGAUAUGCGNAGGAACACCGAUGGCGANGGCAAUCCCCUGGGCCAGNACUUGACGCUCAUGCACGAAAGCGUGGGGAGCAAACAGGAUUAGAUACCCUGGUAGUCC